UUCCGGUUGAUCCUGCCGGAGGCCACCGCUAUUGGAAUCCGAUUAAGACAUGUGAGUCGAGAGUCUUCGGGACUCGGCAGACGGCUCAGUAACACGCGGAUAAUCUGCCCUUAGGCGGGGAAUAAUCUCGGGAAACUGAGCAUAAUACCCCAUAGGCCUGAGAUGCUGGAACGCCCUCAGGCUAAAAGCUCCGGCGCCUAAGGAUGAGUCUGCGGCCUAUCAGCUUGUAGUUGGUGUAAAUGACCAACUAGGCGACGACGGGUACGGGCAUUGGGAGAUGUAGCCCGGAGAUGGACUCUGAGACACGAGUCCAGGCCCUACGGGGCGCAGCAGUCGCGAAAACUUCACAAUGUGGGAAACCGCGAUGAGGGGAUUCCAAGUGCUUGCGUUUUGCGUAAGCUGUUCUUCUGCCUAAAAAGCAGGGGAAGUAAGGGCUGGGUAAGACGGGUGCCAGCGGCCGCGGUAAUACCCGCAGCCCGAGUGGUGGUCGAUAUUAUUGAGCUUAAAGCGUCCGUAGCCUGUCUGGUAAAUUCUUGGGUAAAUCGUGCAGCUUAACUGUUCGAAUUCCGGGGAGACUGCCAGACUUGGGACCGGGAGAGGUUGGAGGUACUCCUGGGGUAGGGGUAAAAUCCCGUAAUCCUGGGAGGACCACCAGUGGCGAAAGCGUCCAACUGGAACGGAUCCGACGGUCAGGACGAAGCCCUGGGUCGCGAACUGGAUUAGAUACCCAGGUAGUCCAGGGUGUAAACGCUGCAGACUUGGUGUCGGAGGUCCUACGAGGGCGUCCGGUGCCGGAGAGAAAUUGUUAAGUCUGCCGCUUGGGGAGUACGUCGCAAGGAUGAAACUUAAAGGAAUGGCCGGGAGAGCAUCGCAACGGAGAGCGUGCGGUUCAUUGAAUCACGCCGG
rnacentral:rRNA from 1 species